AACGAACGCUGGCGGCAUGCCUAACACAUGCAAGUCGAACGUGAUCCGGGGCUUCGGUUCCGGUGAAAGUGGCGGACGGGUGAGUAACGCGUGGGAACCUGCCCAGUGGUAGGGGAUAACCGCGGGAAACUGCGGCUAAUACCCUAUGAGCCCUGCGGGGCAAAGAUUCAUCGCCAUUGGAGGGGCCCGCGUCGGAUUAGGUAGUUGGUGGGGUAACGGCCUACCAAGCCAUCGAUCCGUAGCUGGUCUGAGAGGAUGAUCAGCCACACUGGGACUGAGACACGGCCCAGACUCCUACGGGAGGCAGCAGUGGGGAGUAUUGGACAAUGGGGGCAACCCUGAUCCAGCAAUGCCGCGUGAGUGAUGAAGGCCUUAGGGUUGUAAAGCUCUUUCGGCGGGGAAGAUGAUGACGGUACCCGCAGAAGAAGCCCCGGCUAACUUCGUGCCAGCAGCCGCAGUAAGAC
rnacentral:rRNA from 1 species